CUUGCUCCCUGAUGUUACGGCGGACGGGUGAGUACACGUGGGUACCUGCCUGUAAGACUGGGAUAACUCCGGGAAACCGGGGCUAAUACCGGAUGGUUGUUUGAACCGCAUGGUUCAAACAUAAAAGGUGGCUUCGGCUACCACUUACAGAUGGACCCGCGGCGCAUUAGCUAGUUGGUGAGGUAACGGCUCACCAAGGCAACGAUGCGUAGCCGACCUGAGAGGGUGAUCGGCCACACUGGGACUGAGACACGGCCCAGACUCCUACGGGAGGCAGCAGUAGGGAAUCUUCCGCAAUGGACGAAAGUCUGACGGAGCAACGCCGCGUGAGUGAUGAAGGUUUUCGGAUCGUAAAGCUCUGUUGUUAGGGAAGAACAAGUACCGUUCGAAUAGGGCGGUACCUUGACGGUACCUAACCAGAAAGCCACGGCUAACUACGUGCCAGCAGCCGCGGUAAUACGUAAGUGGCAAGCGUUUCGAA
rnacentral:rRNA from 1 species